GGAUGCGAUCAUACCAGCACUAAUGCAACGGAUCCCAUCCGAAACUCCCAGUUUAAGCGUCCUGGGCGAGAGUAGUACUAGAGGGUGACCCCUCCCGGGAAGUCCUCGUGUUGCAUCCC